rnacentral:rRNA from 1 species
UACGAAGGGUGCUAGCGUUAUUCGGAAUCACUGGGCGUAAAGAGCGUGUAGGCGGUUUGUUAAGUCGACUGUUAAAGCACCAAGCUUAACUUGGUAAAGGCAGGCGAAACUGGCAAGCUAGAGUACGAGAGAGAGAAGUGGAAUUGUCGGAGUAGCGGUAAAAUGCGUAGAUCUCGACAGGAACACCGGUUGCGAAGGCGGCUUCUUGGCUCGUCACUGACGCUAAAGCGCGAAAGCGUGGGGAGCAAACAGGAUUAGAUACCCUGGUAGUCCACGCCGUAAACGAUGAUCACUAGAUGUGGGGUUGGCAUAGCCGACUCUGUGUCGUAGCUAACGCGUUAAGUGAUCCGCCUGGGAAUUACGGUCGCAAGAUUA